GGCAAGCAAUCAAUACUUGAAUUACUAUGUCAACGAAAAAUUCAGUGUCAAGGAUGAGUUUUGAUUACUGUGUACUUUUUCUUUGCAGUCGGGAAAGGCAAACCUUGGGGAAGAUCUUUACAGUAACAUGACUGCAGAAUCACCCACGGUAGAAGAGGUGCUUCAUGCCCUCAAUUUAAAAUCUGAACAUAGAGCCCUUGAAGUGAUUAACAGGUUGGAGGCAGCAGCACUUGCAUGGAAACAUAGAAUGUUAGAAAAACGCAACUAUGAAUCUCCAAUUCAUACAUCAUUGUCUUUUCUAAAGGAUUCAGAAUCUGAUAUGGAUAAAAUGGAAUACUUGUUAAACCAGACUGAAAGUCUUGUCCAGGAAAUUAAAGCCAGAUUCCCAAAACUUCCCCAAUCGUUCCUGGAUGUCACAAAAAUCCAAUAUGGCAAGGUAUGUACAGUUUCAUUUAUAUCGCACAAGAAACAACCUCAAUGUCAGAAAUAUCACUUCUUGAUGUUCAGUGUUUUCAUUCUUCCAUAGUAGUAGUCAGCUAUUGAAUGAUCAGAUGCCCUAAUAAUUCAGCUUAAUGUGUUUACAUGCUUACAGGAUGUUGGUCAGGCAAUCCUAGAGGCUUAUUCUCGGGUUCUUGCAAACUUAGCAUUCAGCAUACUCAGUAGGAUAGGAGAUGUUCUGCAGGAAGAAGUUUUAAGUAAUCCAAAUUCCCCUGCUGCAACAUUUAACUUUCCUGGAGUAAACCAUGUCAAUCAAAGAAUGCCGAGUCAGCAUGUGAGACACUUUCUCAUUAAUCAAAUGAAUAUUGUAGAUGGCCGGUUUCGCGAGCCCAACACUGUCAAGUAUAGCAAAUAUGAGUCCUGGGACGAUAAACACAAAAGAAUGGCAAGUCAGCAUGUGAGACACUCUCUCAUUGAUCAAAUGAAUAUUGUAGAUGGCCGGUUUCGCGAGCCCAACACUGUCAAGUAUAGCAAAUACGAGUCCUGGGACGAUAAACACAAAAUUAGCAUUGUCCAAGGCCAUAACAAAUCUUGCAGGUAUGUAGUACUACUUUUUACUAGGAGAGUAUGAAGUAAUAUACGCUUAAUUUUUUUAAACUGUUGCAAACGAGUCCAUCUAAAACUUCAGAAUCCCUCGAACUUGAGACCUCCGCCAAACCUAGCUCUGAUAUCAUGUUAGAUAACCAGUCCAUCUAAAACUUUAAGGUGUUAUAUCAAUAGAAACAUGAGAUGAAUAUUUAAAUUUGCAGCAUUGGUUUUCGGAGAGCUAUGGAAACUGGAACCUUUGUCUGAGGAGAGGAAGAAAAAGUGGCGACAAGAAAUGGACUGGAUACUAUCGCCUACUAACUAUAUGAUCGAGCUGGUUCCAGCUAAACAACAUAGCAUCAAUGGCCAGACCAUGGAGGUAUAUAUAUCUUGUAUCGGAAUAGCUAUGAGCUAAAAUACCAUGUCGGACUAAUAACUCUCUUGAAAUUAUAAGGUGUUAGUAGAAGCCACCAAAUAGAUCGUAUAAACACUUACAUAUUGUCACUGAAGCAGAUAAUGACACCUAAGGCUCGAGCUGACAUCCAUAUGAAUCUUCCAGCACUUCAGAAGUUGGACUCCAUGCUCAUUGUAAGGUGUCUCCAGCCUAUCAUCAGAAUAACCUGGAGUAAACCUUAACUAAUUUUAAGCAUAUUGAAUUCACAGGAAACGUUGGAUUCUAUGGUUGGCACUGAAUUUUGGUACGUAGAAGGGGGUAGCCGAGCAGAAGGAAGGAGCAAUAGUUCUAGGCAAAGCAAUAGAUGGUGGCUUCCGUCACCAAAAGUACCUGCAGCAGGGCUAUCAGAUACUGAAAGGAAGAAAUUGCUAAAUCAGGGUAAAGUAGUUCAUCAAGUUUUCAAGGCUGCAAAAUCCAUUAAUAAAAAUGUCUUGCUCGAGAUGUCUGUUCCUGAUUUUAUACGGGAGGCACUUCCUAAGGCAAGCAAUCAAUACUUGAAUUACUAUGUCAACGAAAAAUUCAGUGUCAAGGAUGAGUUUUGAUUACUGUGUACUUUUUCUUUGCAGUCGGGAAAGGCAAACCUUGGGGAAGAUCUUUACAGUAACAUGACUGCAGAAUCACCCACGGUAGAAGAGGUGCUUCAUGCCCUCAAUUUAAAAUCUGAACAUAGAGCCCUUGAAGUGAUUAACAGGUUGGAGGCAGCAGCACUUGCAUGGAAACAUAGAAUGUUAGAAAAACGCAACUAUGAAUCUCCAAUUCAUACAUCAUUGUCUUUUCUAAAGGAUUCAGAAUCUGAUAUGGAUAAAAUGGAAUACUUGUUAAACCAGACUGAAAGUCUUGUCCAGGAAAUUAAAGCCAGAUUCCCAAAACUUCCCCAAUCGUUCCUGGAUGUCACAAAAAUCCAAUAUGGCAAGGUAUGUACAGUUUCAUUUAUAUCGCACAAGAAACAACCUCAAUGUCAGAAAUAUCACUUCUUGAUGUUCAGUGUUUUCAUUCUUCCAUAGUAGUAGUCAGCUAUUGAAUGAUCAGAUGCCCUAAUAAUUCAGCUUAAUGUGUUUACAUGCUUACAGGAUGUUGGUCAGGCAAUCCUAGAGGCUUAUUCUCGGGUUCUUGCAAACUUAGCAUUCAGCAUACUCAGUAGGAUAGGAGAUGUUCUGCAGGAAGAAGUUUUAAGUAAUCCAAAUUCCCCUGCUGCAACAUUUAACUUUCCUGGAGUAAACCAUGUCAAUCAAAGAAUGCCGAGUCAGCAUGUGAGACACUUUCUCAUUAAUCAAAUGAAUAUUGUAGAUGGCCGGUUUCGCGAGCCCAACACUGUCAAGUAUAGCAAAUAUGAGUCCUGGGACGAUAAACACAAAAGAAUGGCAAGUCAGCAUGUGAGACACUCUCUCAUUGAUCAAAUGAAUAUUGUAGAUGGCCGGUUUCGCGAGCCCAACACUGUCAAGUAUAGCAAAUACGAGUCCUGGGACGAUAAACACAAAACAAGUUUAGUGACAGGCACACCUGGCCAGAGCAGAGUAUGGUGCUUAGGCAGAGAGGCAUGUGGCAGUCUUUCAACGCUUUCCCCCGAAAGUUCCCCCUGAUGCCGCACUCAUAUAUGUUGUAAAUACACAUUAUUACAAGAGGUGGUUUAGGAAGUCACCAAAUAUGGCGUAGCAGAAUUUUCAGUAUAAACAGAGGGACAGAUCUCAUGACCCUCUAGCUCUAGGUAAGAACGUGUUUUGUGAACAUUUAAUAGUUAAAGAAUUUACUUAAUAUUCAAUAUUCAUAUAAUCUUUUAGAUUUUUAACACGCUGGGAUAUUUCAUGGAAUAGCCUUUGAGAUAUACUGAAACAUCUCUAUAUUAAUGGUGCACCUUAUUACCGUCUCCAAAAGUAAGACAUAAGACAUACAGGCAUACACAACUUGAUUUGGUUAGUUAGUAUGUAAUAAUUCAGGCACAAGCUGAUACCAAAUUAGCAAAGUUUAAUCUGCAUGCAUGGAAUUUCAAUAUAUAAAUAAGUUCAAGACAGAGGGACGCGUUAAGGGUGAGUACCUGUAGCACUACUAAAGCAAAGUGAUAGUAAUGGAUUCAUUUACAUGAUAAAAAGGUAGCAACAUGCUGAAACUAUGUAUUAGUCAUCUGAUUGCACAGCAAAAAUGUACACUGUCAAUUCCAAAAUCCACGGAUCUGACAUGGAACUUGUAUGUUCAUUGUCAAUGGAGACGAGUAGUGAACUGACCUUCCCUUGGACAUAUAGCCUUCAAGGGAAAACUAGUAUGUUGGUGUAGCAUGGCGAGCAACGAAAGACUCCACAAGUGGGUUUACAAGCUGUGGUGCUUCAUCCUUCAUAAUACAAAAUGAAGAGAAAGGAUUUACAAGAUGUGGUGUUUCAUCCAUCAUAAUACAAAAUGAAGAGAAACAAAUUAUAACGGUGAUUUCCUGACGCCCUUCGGAUAAGUUGAGGAAGAGAUGAAGUGGGAAUAAUAAAGUUCUUAUGAGUUAAUUUCUGAUGCUAAAUGUUAUCAUACUCAUAGGGAUUCCUGCGACAUGACAGUCUAAUGCCAUUAAAAAAAAAUCUUCACCGACCAUUUGCUUGGCCAAGUUAUUAACCAUAUUUUAAAGCAAUAAUGUAAUGAACUAACAAUUACAUUAGAUGAUGAUAUAAAAUAGAAAAGCUAAAUGACGUCCAUGUGUGCGGUUGCUUGUGGGGAUCGGGAAGGGGGAAUUCAUGUGUGAGAUAGAACAAGAGAUAGAAACCUGAGGGCAGUGGCCAACAUUAGGUAGAACAACAAAAUCUUCGACAGUAUCAAAAUCUCCAUAGGCUCUUCCAAGUUGGAUUGGUUCCCAUGGAUCUUUGUCACCCCAUGCAACCAGAACAGGACACUACAAAAAGGAGAGAAGGGAAAGAAGAGACAUACUUUGUCAACUGCAAGAAAUACAUUACAUUUUGAAGUGCAACAGAACUACAAUAUGGAUGUGUCGAAUUGAGAUAUAACCUUCACUUGAGGCAGGAGCUCCUCAGGAAGAGGGCCAUCUGAAUAACAGAUGAACUCGAGAAAAACGUCCACAGCACCUGGCUCAAGUCCAGGAAGAAGUAUGGCCUGGACUAAUUCGUCUGUCACUUGAGAAGUGUCAUGGUAACACUGGAAAACGAGAGGUUUCAGUUUUUACUAGUUCUAUUAUGCAAUCUUUGAAUGAUAGCUGCUUCACUGCAAUCUAUAUCUUUCUUAUCAUGGCAGUUGACAUUCAAAUUCAAAAGAUUAAAGCAUUUAUCCGGUGUUAACAAUACCUGGCAAAGGAUAUUCUUCACAGAAUCUGGGGUGGCAACAGAUUUGAAGAAGUAUUUUCCCAAUGCAGUAUUUCUGACCACACAUAACAAAAACCUUUGAAUGGUGAGCAUAAAAAACCUAACACCAGCCGGUGAUCAACUAUAGUUUGUAGCAUACCUUAGGAGAUUCUGAAAUGCUCGAAUCAGAGGCCUUCCAAACCAUGGCUGCUUAGUUAUAUGAAGCAUUCGAAGAGAUAUAUUAAGCAGGAGAAUGCCUUUACAGAUCCGUGGCUCCAUAAUCGCUGCUUGAAGGCCAACAAGUCCUACACACAAUCAAUUAAAAUUCUCAAAUCUGAUUUUACAUGUGUGAGCUAAAACAGUACAACAACAAUAAAAAUAACAUUCAGAGUGAGGAGCGUCUGCUUUUACUUAAAAUAAAAUUGCUUAAAUAUAGUUAUAUUCAGAUUUGCACAAUCAUGGAAGGUUAAUCACCUCCGAUAGAAUUGCAUAUGAAGAAUGCUUCAUCUUUAACCACAUCAGUGCAAAAAUCAUUCAAUUGUGCACCCCAUGUCUCAAAGGUAUAGAACGGGUCACUUCCAAAAUCACUAGGAUUGGGUUUCUCUGAAUACCCAUAACCAAUAAGAUCAAUUGCAUAUACUCUCUGUGACUGUGCAAGAACCGGUAUAUUUUUCCUCCAGUGAUCACUGUUAGAAAACAAAGUAAAUACCGAGUGGAAACAGCUCUAAUCCUUAUGCUUGUAUAAGGGAAAAAAAGAAGCUAAAUGGUUAAUAAUCCCUUUUAAGUCUAGAAUUAGUGUAGCUCAAUUAUCAGUCCAAGCGUCCCUAAAUUUACAAAACCUCAUGGCAACAUAUAUACAAAGAAACGUGUAAUGGUGAUCGGCACAUUCAUAUAUUAAUAUUUUAAAGAGGCAAAUGUGAGUGUUUUAAACCUGUUUGCUCCAAACCCGUGAACUAAAACCAAUGCUGGUCCACUGCUCCCAGCACACUGAUAGCGAAUCGAAUAACCCUUCCAUUUCCAAAUACUAGAACCAUACAAAAAUAAGUUAUACACCCACCAAAAACACAAACAAAUUAAACCCUUAAAUUAGUAUUAAAACAUAGCAAUUCACAUUAAACAUUCUGUUAAACCAACAAUCUCAAUCUCAAACUCGAAAACCAUAACAUUCUUAAACUAUUCUCGCACUACUACAAAAGUGUAAUAAUACUGACUCACUAACACAUAAUUAAGUCGAGGUGCACGCAAACUGACCCGAACACGGAAUAUAACCAAAAAAAAAAA
rnacentral:lncRNA from 1 species